GCCGACAAUAAUGAGUAGGACAGAGAGAAAUAGUUACGACGAGGAGGGAGGAGUGAAAAGUGAGGAAGUCAAUUCUGGAGAACUAAAGAAGAAGAAAAAGAAAAAAGAAUACAAACUUUGCAAUUGGAUACGUGGAGCAUUCUUGGUAGGUAUAAUGGGUAGUUGAAUAGCAUAAGACGUAUCCCGCAAGAUAGCUAUGGGUAUCUCCGGUGGGAAGGCUCAAGAAAAAUAUGCGAUACUGAACGGUAAAAGAAAGACUAAUCGAAACGACGACUUUUAUUUUAUUUCAAUCGGUAAUACUUAGAAUCCAGAAAUUAUAUGCUGUUGUACGUUCACUCUUAAACAGGACCACAGACAAGGUAAGAAUAAGUAGCGAGCUACUAUAUAUAUGUUAAGAAAGCGUAUAUUUCUGAACAGUAUUUCUUAAUACAGACAGCCCGUUGCAUUAUACCCCGGAUGGGAUUGUAGGCCUGCAGUUUCAGAUAGUAAUCUUCAACGCGCACGCUGUAAACAGAUAGGCCCAGAUCGCUCACUAAUAUUGUGAAACACUAAUAUUGUGUUUGUUUCUCCAGCUUUGCUUUGGUUGCUUUUGGGGGUCAAAAGAUGAUUCUGAUGCUACAUCGGUUCAUAACUUCGGGGACGCGGACAAAACUGGAGGGGAUGAUAUUAGCCUUGCAUCGACAAAUUCUUUGCAAUUUCUUCAUGGCAAGAAGAGAAAAAC